rnacentral:misc_RNA from 1 species
UGUGGGAGCGAGCCUGCUCGCGAUAGCGGUGGUUCAGUUGGCAUAUUCAUUGGCUGACACACCGCUAUCGCGAGCAGGCUCGCUCCCACC